UCAAUGGAUGCAAAAACAGCUUUUGAUAAAAUUCAACUUUCAUGUGUGUUAAAAACUCUCAAUAAACCAGGUAUUGAAGGAACAUACCUCAAAAUAAUAAGAGCCACAUGUGACAAAACCACAGCCAGCAUCAUACUGAAUGGACAAAAGCUUAAAGCAUUCCCCUUAAAAAUUGGCACAAGAUAAAGUUGCCCUCUCUCCCCACUCCCAUUCAGCAUAGCUUUGAGGGUGUUCUUUGCUCUUGGAUUUCUAAUUCUUUUAAUUGUGAUGUUGGGUAGUUAACUUGAGAUCUCAAUUUUGUUUUUGAGAUGGAGUGUUGUUCUCUCAACCAGGCUGGAGUGCAGUGGUGUGAUAUGGGCUCACUGCAACAUUUAUCUCCUGGGUUCAAGCAGUUCUCCUGCCUCAGCCUCCUGAGUACCUGGGAUUACAGAUGAAGAAGAUGAGACUCAGAGCAAUACAUAAGUUGCCCAAGGUCAGAGAGCAAUGACCAUAUCAGAGCACAGUGUACUCCUCUUGCCGUAUUCAGAGGAUUUGCCUAUGGGCAGCAACAUUAUUCUCUCGUUCUCUGGAUAUUAGGAACAAUAUCACAGGACCGGCGGACAGCCCCAGUCAUAUCUGACCAUAUCAAAGCAUGGUGUACACCUCUUGCCGUAUUAAGAGUAUUUCCCUAUGGGCAGCAACAUUUUCC